rnacentral:rRNA from 1 species
CCGGACACACUGAGGAUUGACAGGAAGUAUCGUCUUUUGAAUUCUUUAAGGAUAUGUCGUUUUUAAUGACAUCUUUUAGAUGGAUGAUUCGUGUAAAUAUGCUAGUUCUUUCAUGAUUAUGUGAUAGGUGGUGCAUGGCCGUUCUUAGUUCGUGGAGUGAUCUGUCUGCUUAAUUGCGUUUCACUAAGGCCCCAAAGUUAGCAAAUUAUCAAUCGUUACAGAGUCGACCCCUCACCUUUGAGUGCGCGUCCUAACUUGUAGUACAUGGUGUAAAUGGAUUUGUUUUGGGUACCCAGAAAGCAACGAACGUGACCGCAACGUCUUGUUGUCUCUCUUUGACAGUUAUGGGUUAUCCCAGUCAUGUGUUUAUACUUUUAUGUGUAAAUACGUACGACACAGAGACUAGAUACCAAACUAGGCGUACCGCUGUAUCAUUUCUUUAAACCAGAGGAAGGUUGCGGCAAUAA